GCUCGUGGAUCGAUGAAGACCGCAGCUAAAUGCGCGUCAGAAUGUGAACUGCAGGACACAUGAACACCGACAAGUUGAACGCAUAUUGCACAUCGUACAACACCGUACGAUGUACACAUUUUUGAGUGCCUAUAUUUAUCUAUUCAACUAUACGUGUGCCACCCACCCGGUGCGCGCGUAUGCGUAGUGAUGUUUGCCCGCCUUCGGUGGCGGUCAAACAUUUAAGAUAGUCAAGCGUGCGACGGUCAUAGUUGCGCGAUUGAUGAAUACAUCCCACCAGACGUCCGCAUCCCGUGGCGCUAGUGUUGUAUUCCAUCAGAGGGAGAGAGAGAGACAGUAUAGCAUAUCUAGUAGGCCUCAAAUAAUGUGUGACUACCCCCUAAAUUUAAGCA
rnacentral:rRNA from 1 species